rnacentral:misc_RNA from 1 species
UUUUUUUUUUUUAGAAAAAAUAAACCAUGUAUCCCUUUCAUUUGUUUCAAGUAAAACAUUAACAGGAGCACCGGUUCUGUAAUCCAUUCCAGAGUAAUGAUUAUCUGUGGGAAGAGCCAAAAAGUGGCCCCUGCAUUCACACGUCUACGCAAAUUACCAAACAACACGUAGCAACCCCACAACUCUACACUGCGUGCGAUGCUAAAGCCUAGAACAAAGAAAAGCUAGCAACACCAAACAGAAGGGCGCACGCAACACCCCGCACAUUAGCACCAUCCUUAACCCCGGAGUUGCCAGGCGCCUGCGAUCCUCCCGGAAUAGUAAUAGGCGGGGACUGAGCGGAGUCCGGACCAGGAGGCGCUAUGUAAGGAGGCGGUGGCGGCUGGUUAAGGCUGGG